UACGUAGGGUGCAAGCGUUGUCCGGAAUUAUUGGGCGUAAAGAGCUCGUAGGCGGUCUGUCGCGUCUGCUGUGAAAACUCAGGGCUUAACCCUGAGCUUGCAGUGGGUACGGGCAGACUAGAGUGCGGUAGGGGAGACUGGAAUUCCUGGUGUAGCGGUGAAAUGCGCAGAUAUCAGGAGGAACACCGGUGGGCGAAGGCGGGGUCUCUGGGCCGUAACUGACGCUGGAGGAG
rnacentral:rRNA from 1 species